UACGUAGGGUGCAAGCGUUUGUCCGGAAUUAUUGGGCGUAAAGAGCUCGUAGGCGGUUUGUCGCGUCUGCUGUGAAAACCCGAGGCUCAACCUCGGGCCUGCAGUGGGUACGGGCAGACUAGAGUGCGGUAGGGGAGAUUGGAAUUCCCGGUGUAGCGGUGAAAUGCGCAGAUAUCGGGAAGAACACCCGUGGCGAAGGCGGCUCUCUGGGACGGUACUGACGCUGAGACGCGAAAGCGUGGGGAGCAAACAGG
rnacentral:rRNA from 1 species